GUCUGCCAGGAUUGCAUAAGAUCAAGUAUCAGAUAACUAUGUUUCUGAAUGAAGCUUAUUUGCCAGCCCAAAUGCUCUUUUGCCAGUUCUUUCGUGUUCCCUUCGUGCUCUUGGUGUUGCUUUGCCAUGGAACUCAAAUGUUUCCCAAGAAAUACAUGCAGGCUUGGGUGCAUAUUUACUCUUUUACUUCUGGUGGUUUUAUUGUAAACUAUCUGAACUCCAUCAACAGGAAUUUUGAAGAAUUUGGGGAUGGUGUAGCACUACUGAUCAGAAAGAGCCUGGCCCAGAGCCACAGUGGAAAUCAUGUACUUGGCAAGCAAGCUCCUUCGGCAUUGUUCCACAUGAUCCUAAGCAAGAGACUACCCAUUGUUCAAGAAUUCUUGAAAACAGUGAUGACAAUGCAGCAUUAUAAAUGUUUUAAUUCUAGGAACACUUCACAGAAAAUAUCUGAGGUUCCUGCCUGCCACUCUGCCUUUCCUGUACUCCUCUGGACUUGUGGAGAUUGGUCCUCAGUGGUCUGAUGGCUUUUGUGAAGGCAGCCCGACUGUAUAAUUUGGAUUCCCCAUCUUCCACUGUCUCUCUGAGCACCUUUGUGGGUGUGCAGGUGUGCACCACCGCUGAUUUCCUUGUGGUUGUACUAGCGUGGCCAUGCAGCAACCCAGAAAAACUCAUUUAACACAAGUGGAAAAAACAAUCACACAAAAGAUAUCCUCUCAGCUAAGCUGUUUCAGCUGCCUGUGGUGAUGAAGCAGCACAGCCCCAACACAAAGGCCACGUGAGAAGAUGCGGCCAGGCACAGACUAGAAUUGCACCUUUCAGCAGCACUGGAGAUCAGCUACAAGAGGUGUGACAGCAUUUCUUCGCUGUGGGGUUAGCAGAACACCUCUGCACCUAUUCUCUUUGCUUUCAUGAGGCCUCUUCUUGUCUCCUUUGUAAGAGGCUCAGCCAAGCUGUGAGACUGUGCUUGUAUCAUAGCUGGAAAGAGAGGCACGCUGUUUGUACUCCUGAGCUGCCCUUGCUGGCAGCAUGACCCACAUGAACACCUUAUAGCUGUUACUUCAGCUCAGGUUUCAAGCCCAGACUCCAAUUAUCCACACUGGUUUUCAGCUUCAACCUGUGCACAGGGACAAGUUGACUGAUGUGCCAGGAAGGAAAACCUAAGCAGGAAAUGCAAACAGGAGAAACUAGUCUGACCUUAGGACAUCCAGGGCAGAGCUAGCUUAAGUUAUACCUAGUGAACAAAUAAGCCCAGAAUGAGGAAUGUCUCACGAGGACUCAGCAUGAGACAUGGCAGCACUAGGACAUGUGGUGGCCUCAUAGCAAUUUUAAAGCAUAUAAUUAAAGUUCACAGAAUAUGUGGAUGAGCCUAAAAACAAGCAGGAAGGAUGAAACAGUUACCAUUAUCAAAGUAUUUGUGAAAGUUGGUCCCCUGUCUAUCACUUUGUCAAUGUAGAUAUUUACAAAGAAAGGCUAAUGCUGUUUUAACUGGUGCAAUAUAGUAAUAGUCUCUGGAGAGCUGCUAUGGCAUGUGGGACAUGCUGGUCUAAUAUCCUCUUUGGCCUUGCUCCUAGUAACUUCUCUUAAGCCAAAAGCUGAACUGAGUGAUCAGGCAUCACCAUUUCACUGGGUUUACAAGUCUCACAGUACUCUAUAAUUUGGAGAAGCUCCUUGGCUGGAUAUUUCAAAUUCUUAAAGAAUUUCAGGUCUAAAGUAUGUCAGCCUUUUUUUUUUUCUUUUUUUAAUUAUUCUUUAUUGCAGGCAUGUUUUACUUGUUUUCAGAAAAAAACCCAAAUGAUUCUUGACCAUCCCAGUAUCUCCCAAUCACAACUUAAUGACAAUUUUUGCCAAUUCUGCAAAAUUCUGCAAAAAACAAAAUUGGCCUCUGAGGAGAGUAUGCUUAUGCCAAUAGCUGUGUGGCUGUGCCAUAGUUUGGGAAGAACCUGUCAGUGUUUUCCCAAGUGUCUGAUCUUCUAAUUUCAUCACAAGAAGACCCAAAAAUCUGAAGAAUGUGCCUGGAAUGUGACCCUUCAGCAGAUACAAAAUGUACUCCAAAAAAGAAGCACUGAAAGUAUCACUUCAAUAUGAAUGAACCUGCUCUGCCUACUGGUCUUUUUAACCUAUAUUCAUUAUUAGUGAAGGAACACAUUAAAGGCAAGAGUCAGCAUUGACUGUAAAUGAUCUCAGUGGCCAAGAAAGCCUUACUCCCCACGCCCUUGCUCCCUUUCUUCCUGAUUCACAUGUUCUUGUCUCCUCAAACACCCAUCCUUCCUUGUUCCAGUUAUAACAGGCUUUGUUGUGAAUUGACAUGAGCCAUGCUGACUAAAAGUGGUUCCCAAAAUGACCUCAUUAGCUGUGGAGCCAGCAUGGUGCAAGCAUCAGGAGUGAGUGGUCUGUGCUGGGGCAGAAAGGAAGGAUGGGAAGGGCAGGGAGCAGCGGGUGCAUCAGCUGUAGAGAGGUGUUGAGUCAGCUGCCUAGAGCUGUGGAACCAACCCUCAAAGAUGGACAGUCUGUCUUGCAACCAACACCAGUGAAAACACUCAUCAAUAAGGUUCUAUAAACUCUGGUAAACAGCAUUGUUGCAAUUACUAAUGAAGGCAAAAACUGGAAGGUAAUGCUCUUCAAGCCUGCCUUUGCUGCAGGUAUAUCACUGAUAAUUGAGUAAUAUACAGUUGAAACUUAAUUGGAACACUAAGGAAAGCUUGAGCUAUUUAUGGUAUUUAAUAAUUUAAUAGUACAAAGUGCACUGAUUGUAGUAGUAUUCAUUUUUUUCUAUUUAAUUAUUGCUUCUAUUUCUUAAUUAAUAAUGCAAGAGUGUAUUUUUGUGUAGCACAUUUUCUUGUGCAGUUCCCAUUUUGCAACAGAAUUGAGUAAAGAUCUUCCUGUUGUUUGUAAAAAAUGAGGACAUUCAGGUAUACACACAUUCUGAAAAAUUGCUUGAGUCUAUCAUCAAUGAGAUACCUGCAAGGCCCAUAAAGAGGGUCUUAUCAUUAAAUGUUUACUCCAGGGUAUGUAAAAGCCCUCUAAUCUUUACAUUCUUAUGUUUACAACACUCAGGUAAAAACGGGGAGUUUAAUUUCUCCCACUACAGCUAGGAUAUCAAAGCACAGAGGUGUUAAAGUCUGUAUGUACUCAAAAAGGUUAUUUAAGAUCAUGGAUCCAUCUACAUGACUUGCCUAGAGUGCUGAGAAAAGCUUUUGUGGAAUAAGCACUGGACUUGCAUCUGCCAAAUCCAAAAUCUUUCUUACUAGUGGACUUUGCUGUCUCACUAACAUUGCAAUAAAAAGUUCUUUAAAGCUGAGUUUAGAGUACUUUGUUGAGUGGGAAGAAAGAUUUUCUUCUAAGGGAAGUUUUGAAUGUAGGUCACCAAAGGGCAGAAAGGAUAUGAAAUUACUGCUGAUACACAUGAUGGCUUUUUGGAAGGAAAAUGAAAGCUGUAAUGUUUUGGGGGAAAAUAAACCAUUAUCCAUGACAUGAAAAACAAACAUAUUAAGGAAUAAUGUGUUAUACUGAAGCCCUAAGGGAUUGAAGUCAGUAGAGAAUAGUCCUUCCACUGGAAAAAUAAAGGAGGUACUCCAUAGGUCAGCUUAGCAUUGCUCUAGAACAAGAUGAUGUUACUUAGAAAGCCAGCAUGCUGACAGCCUGUGCACCUAUUCAGAAUGUACAGAAUGGAAAAGAAUAAAAAAUAAUCCAUUUUAAGGUCAUGUCUUAAAUGUGAAGAAAUAAGAUGCUAUAUUUGUAUUAUGAGUUUGCUUUGGUGUAUUGAUGGUAAAAUACUUCUCAGUGUUAAAGACAAUUUAUGAGUAUAAUCAUGGGUCUAAAUUUUGUACUUCUAUUUUAUAUGAAAUCAGUUUGGUUGAGAUAUUUAUAGUGGACCUGAAUGCAAUUUUUAUGGCUAAAAAAGCAAAUUUGAAAUUGAAGGACAUAAAAUGAGAAACAAACUUUUUCCGAAGGAAUUUGCCCUGACAUCAAAGAGAUUCUUGGUGGGCCCUCUAAUAUCCUAUGCUUGAUAUAGGAGACCAGUCUAAAGGAAGAAAGAAAGGUGAAUUCUCAACAGGUGGCAUAGACAGAAUAUUCUUUAUUAUGACCUACCUUGUUCUGGGAGUUUUAAGUAUUAUUGGUAACAGAACUGGACUUUAGGUCCGUGCAUGACAUAGUCUGACUAGUCUUACUUUCUAGAAUAUGGUUUCACUCAAUAAAAUUUUUAUAUUUUCAUAA